rnacentral:rRNA from 1 species
UACGUAGGGCGCAAGCGUUGUCCGGAAUUAUUGGGCGUAAAGAGCUCGUAGGCGGCUUGUCACGUCGGGUGUGAAAGCCCGGGGCUUAACCCCGGUUCUGCUUCCGGUACGGGCAUGCUGGAGUGUGGCAGGGGAGACUGGAAUUCCUGGUGUAGCGGUGGAAGUGACGCAGAUAUCAGGAGGAACACCGGUGGCGAAGGCGGGUCUCUGGGCAAUACCUGACGGCUGAGGAGCGAAAGUGUACGGGGAGCGAACAGGA